AAAAAAAAGAGUAUUUUAUUUUAUAUUUUUUUUAUAUAAGUGCAUGGGUCUUUUACUCCAUAUAUGAACUGAAAUGCUUCCAAAUCAAUGAAAUAUUUUAAGCAAAUUAACAAUAAAAAAUCAAGGUGUGGAAAUCCACGUGAGAAAAAAACAGAGGGGCUAAAAAUGUUGCUAUCCUGAAUUUACUACACCAAGGAACUGUAGACAUUGACGUUCUGGUGAAGUUGCUAUAAAAUCUGCCCUCUGGAACCAAUUGGAAACCACAUUUGCAGAGCUAUUUGAGCUUAUUGUUGAAACGAAAUCAUAUUUCUCCUUCACUUUUUGCUCAUGGCUCUAGUUGGUAACUUUCUUCCAAAGCCUAUCAUGCUCUCCAUGCAGAUUUCCAUGCUCCAAAAACCAAAAACUAUGAUAGUAUGUGCGACACCAGAGAGGCCAAAGACCCGGAGCGGGAGCGGCGGAAAAAUCAACAGCACCCUCAGACUCUCGACGAGGACCAUAGUAGGGGUGAAGGAGGUUACUCCUAACACUACCCUGGAUGUUGGAGAAUCAAACCAGAAGAGGAAAGCAAAUAAUGCUGAUGAUGAUGCUGCAACUGUUAAUGGAGCUGAAGCAACUGAUUAGCUAUAAUAGAUUUUAGUUAAGGAGAGAGAUAGCUUUCAAGAUUGUAAAGCAAUCUUUAAUUUCUAGUAUAAAUAAAUCGCUCCUCUCUCUUUCCUUCUCUUCCUCUUCUUGUUAAAACAUCAUUUCUCAAGUUUAAGUUCCUUAAGCAUAUAUGCAGUUGAUUAGUUUCUGUUGGAAUAUAUAAUUUCUGUUUAAUCA